UGUGUGUGUGUGUGUGUGUGUGUGUGUGUGUGUGUGUGUGUGUGUUCAAGAGGAGUGCCCUGAGUAUGCACUUGAGGUUUAGGGUGUAAAAAUGCUCCUUGAGUAAACGGGAAUUGCUGGUUCAGAGACACGACAAAGCCUUUGGGUUUCUUGUGAAUGGAACGUUAAAGAAACAUGGAACAGUUUGUGAGCAAUGGAGCAAAUGACCGAGCGAGAGCCGGUGUAUGAGUCAGGACCCUGGGGCUGAAAUAUCUAAGUGCACAUGAGGCAAGUUGAGACACAGCCGGAGAUGCAGAACGGUGGGAGGGAGACGGAGAUUACGAGGGAACGACAAACCAAAUGCCAACAGGGAGGAAUACCACAGGGAGGAAGGGAAAGCUCACGAGGAGGACCUCUUUCUUCACCGGCCUAAUGAUGGCCUCCUUCACUUCCAUCAACACCUCUUUGGACCGCAUGUUGAAAGUUCUCAUGAAGUUUCAACAUGUUUUCAUGAAGAUACCAAGUCCAAUGCUUGGAAACAACUCAAGACCUUUUAUCUCAUUAAUUUGUCACGAAAUAAUAGGGAAACAUAAAACUGCUUAUCAGUCAAUUGUCCAAUUACUUUUGAGCCUGUGAAAAUGGAUGGAUUCUGUAAAAAAAAAAAAAAAAAAGGCUGUUAAUGCAAAAUUUUUAUUAAACCCUUUGAAUUAAUACUGAAAGUCUACACUUCAAUCACACCUCGAUUUCAUUUCAAAUCCGUUGUGCUGGUGUACAGAGGCAACAUUAUGAAACUUGUGUCAGGGUCCAAAUACUUAUGGACCUGCCUGUACACAGUUGUGUGUGUCAGGCUGGACUGAACAACUUCCACUGCAUUAUUCCAGAGUUUUGUUUGAAACAGUGAGUUGUAAGUAAAUGAGAUCAUCUCUUGCAAAUGGGGCUUGGGGGAAAAGGUCUUGUACUUGGUGUAAGGUCUGCAAUGUAAGGCCUCAUUCUAUAGGCAGAAGUAGGAGGUUCAAUUAUUCAUGAAAAAUAUCAGACUCUAGUGAAAGCUAGAAUUCUGUAUUGUAAGACUAACAUGGUUUUAACAAUUUUUUAACUACUAUAUUUCGCAGGAUUCCCAUUGGCCAGUUGCACCGACACCUGACUGUAAUCCUUAAUACAUUUUAUUUUCUCUGUCAACUCAUGAUUAUGCUGUUGUGUUCAGGCCACAAAAUAUAAUAAUUGGUUUUCUUACCUUAAUUUCAGUAGAAUAAAAUAGCUGUGCAAGAUUUCUUUGCUUAUUUUUUUCUUUGAUUGCAGAUGA